AUUGAACGCUGGCGGCAGGCCUAACACAUGCAAGUCGAACGAGUGGCGGACGGGUGAGUAAUGUCUGGGAAACUGCCUGAUGGAGGGGGAUAACUACUGGAAACGGUAGCUAAUACCGCAUACCAUCGGAUGUGCCCAGAGUGGAUUAGCUAGUUGGUGGGGGAAAGGCGCACCUAGGCGACGAUCCCUAGCUGGUCUGAGAGGAUGACCAGCAACCCUGGAACGGAGACACGGUCCAGACUCCUACGGGAGGCAGCAGUGUGGAGUAUUGCACAAGGGGCGCAAGCCUGAUGCAGCCAUGCCGCGUGUAUGAAGAAGGCCUUCGGUUUGUAAAGUACUUUCAGCGGGGAGGCGUUACCCUCAGAAGAAGCACCGGCUAACUCCGUGCCAGCAGCCGCGGUAAUUC
rnacentral:rRNA from 1 species